ensembl:lncRNA MCPH1-AS1 MCPH1 antisense RNA 1
AGCUGGGCCGGCUGCGGACGCGGGAAGGGAGGUGGUGGCGACUGACGGAACUGGGUGAAGCUUCUGCAGAUGGCCUCCCCUCUCUGCGACUGGUUCCUUAUCGAGGCAAUGGAGAUGUGGACUGCGGUGACUGAUCAAGCCUCACAUAUCUACUGAAUCAGGAAGCCCGAAGGCCUGAGGCCUCCCGAGUGGCCCCAUGGGAGCGUCGUGCAUUUUUCUGGGCCCGAUGACGAUGCUGGCCUGGCGGGGGACUUGGCUGACCCGGCCUCCGCACAGGUGGACUAGUUCACAGAGCUUGGCCACUGGGGGGCUGCUGGCAGGCGAGACAAACAUCGCUGGCUGGUCGGCAAAGAGGGUUCCGCGGUACGGCCCUGCAGACAAGUGGCACUCGCUUCGGCACAGCUGUGGGGCAGACAGAGAUAGAAUUACAGAGCAUAAUAAAUACCGAGCCUCAGCAGCUUUCAUGUGCCUUGCAGGAGACAGUGGCAGCAGGGGCAAAUGAUUCUUCCUGGAUGGUGACUUU